GAUGAACGCUGACAGAAUGCUUAACACAUGCAAGUCAACUUGAAUUUGGGUUUUUAACUUAGGUUUGGGUGGCGGACGGGUGAGUAACGCGUAAAGAACUUGCCUCACAGCUAGGGACAACAUUUGGAAACGAAUGCUAAUACCUAAUAUUAUGAUAAUAGGGCAUCCUAUAAUUAUGAAAGCUAUAAGCGCUGUGAGAGAGCUUUGCGUCCCAUUAGCUAGUUGGAGAGGUAACGGCUCACCAAGGCGAUGAUGGGUAGCCGGCCUGAGAGGGUGAUCGGCCACAAGGGGACUGAGACACGGCUCUUACUCCUACGGGAGGCAGCAGUGGGGAAUAUUGGACAAUGGACCGAGAGUCUGAUCCAGCAAUUCUGUGUGCACGAUGAAGUUUUUCGGAAUGUAAAGUGCUUUCAGUUGGGAAGAAACAAAUGACGGUACCAACAGAAGAAGUGACGGCUAAAUACGUG
rnacentral:rRNA from 1 species